rnacentral:rRNA from 1 species
UCCGUAGGGUGCGAUCGUUAAUCGGAAUUACUGGGCGUAAAGCGUGCGCAGGCGGUCUUUUAAGCCAGAUGUGAAAGCCCCGGGCUUAACCUGGGAAUUGCGUUUGGAACUGGGAGACUAGAGUGUGGCAGAGGGAGGUAGAAUUCCACGUGUAGCAGUGAAAUGCGUAGAGAUGUGGAGGAAUACCGAUGGCGAAGGCAGCCUCCUGGGCCAACACUGACGCUCAUGCACGAAAGCGUGGGGAGCAAACAGG